rnacentral:misc_RNA from 1 species
UCAAACUUGGUCAUUUAGAGGAAGUAAAAGUCGUAACAAGGUUUCCGUAGGUGAACCUGCGGAAGGAUCAUUAUCGAAGCAAAGCGGCCCGUUGGCCCUGCCCCGCUCUGGCCUAGCGGCCGUGAGCGGGUGGGACUCGGGCUCGUUCCACCCCAAACCCCUGUGCACCUUCAGAGGAGCGGCGUGCCGGUGCGAGCCGGCCGCCGGGCCUCUUAUCGCAAACUCUUGUCUCAGAAAGUCACUGCGGGCUUUGCCCGUCUAAUGAAAUAACAACUUUCAACAACGGAUCUCUUGGCUCUCGCAUCGAUGAAGAACGCAGC